CUGGCGGCGUGCCUAACACAUCGCAAGUCGAACGAGUCCCCCUUUCGGGGGUGAGGCGAGUGGCGGACGGGUGAGUAACACGUGAGCAAUCUGUCCCUGUGCGGGGGAUAACCCGGGGAAACUCGGGCUAAUACCGCAUGGGCAACCGGCAGGCUCUGCCGGUUGGGAAAGGUGGCCUCUUUACAAUGCUGCCGUACAGGGAGGAGCUCGCGGGGCUAUCAGCUUAGUUGGUGCGGUCACGGCGCACCAAGGCGACGACGGCUACGGGUCUGAGAGGACGACCCCGCACAUUGGAACUGAGACACGGUCCAGACUCCUACGGGAGGCAAGCAGUGGGGAAUUUUGGGCAAUGGCCGAAAGGCUGACCCAGCGACGCCGCGUGUGGGAGGAAGCCCUUCGGGGUGUAAACCACUGUCAGGGGGGACGAAAGAGCGAGGUCUGAAUAGGGCUUCGCAGUGACGGUACCCCCAAAGGAAGCACCGGCUAACUCUGUGCCAGCAGCCGCGGUAAUACAGAGGGUGCAAGCGUUGUUCGGAAUCACUGGGCGUAAAGCGCGCUGCAGGCGGAGAUGCAAGUCUGGAAGUGAAAUCCAGCCGCUCAACGGCUGGGCUGCUUCGGAUACUACAUUUCUAGGGACCGGUAGAGGCUGGUAGAAUUGCAGGUGUAGCCGGUGGAAUGCGUAGAGAUCUGCAAGAAUACCCGUGGCGAAGGCGGCCAGCUGGGCCGGGUCCGACGCUGAGGCGCGAAAGCGUGGGGAGCAAAACAGGAUUAGAUACCCUGGUAGUCCACGCCGUAAAACGAUGGGCACUAGGUGCUGGGGGGGAGCGACCCCGUCAGUGCCGCAGCUAACGCGAUAAGUGCCCCCGCCUGGAAGUACCGGCCGCAAGGCUGAAACUCAAAGGAAUUGACGGGGGCCCCGCACAAGCGGUGGAGCAUGUGGUUUAAUUCGAAGCAACGCGAAGAACCUUACCUAGGUUUGACAUGCUGGUGAAAGCCUCUGGAAACAGGGGCCCUUCUUCGGAACACCAGCACAGGUGCUGCAUGGCUGUCGUCAGCUCGUGUCGUGAGAUGUUGGGUAAGUCCCGCAACGAGCGCAACCCUUGCCCCGUGUUACUAACAGGUCAUGCUGAGGACUCUCGGGGGACUGCCGGCGUCAAGCCGGAGGAAGGUGGGGACGACGUCAAGUCAUCAUGGCCCUUACGCCUAGGGCUACACACGUGCUACAAUGGCCGGUACAAAGGGCAAGCAAGAGCGCAAGCUGGAGCGAAUCCCAGAAAGCCGGUCCAAGUUCGGAUUGUGGGCUGCAACUCGCCCACAUGAAGCCGGAAUCGCUAGUAAUCGCGGAUCAGCUACGCCGCGGUGAAUACGUUCCCGGGCCUUGUACACACCGCCCGUCACGCCAUGGGAGCCGGGAGUGCCCGAAGUCCGUGUGCUAACCGCAAGGAGGCAGCGGCCGAAGGCAAG
rnacentral:rRNA from 1 species